ACUCAAAUGAAUUGACGGGGGCCCGCACAAGCAGUGGAGUAUGUGGUUUAAUUCGAAGCAACGCGAAGAACCUUACCAGGGCUUGACAUGCAGGUGAAUAAUGUAGAGAUACAUUAGGCCUUCGGGACACCUGUGCAGGUGGUGCAUGGUUGUCGUCAGCUCGUGUCGUGAGAUGUUGGGUUAAGUCCCGCAACGAGCGCAACCCCUGUUGUUAGUUGCCAUCAUUAAGUUGGGCACUCUAACGAGACUGCCGGUGACAAAUCGGAGGAAGGUGGGGACGACGUCAAAUCAUCAUGCCCCUUAUGUCCUGGGCUACACACGUACUACAAUGGCUAUAACAGCAGGGAGCUAAGGAGUAAUCCGGAGCAAAUCCUCAAAAAUAGUCCCAGUUCGAAUUGUGGGCUGAAACUCGCCCACAUGAAGUCGGAAUUGCUAGUAAUGGCAGGUCAGCAUACUGCCGUGAAUACGUUCCCGGGCCUUGUACACACCGCCCGU
rnacentral:rRNA from 1 species